rnacentral:rRNA from 1 species
UACGUAGGGUGCGAGCGUUAAUCGGAAUACUGGGCGUAAAGCGUGCGCAGGCGGUUAUGCAAGACAGAUGUGAAAUCCCCGGGCUCAACCUGGGAACUGCAUUUGUGACUGCAUGGCUAGAGUGCGGCAGAGGGGGGAUGGAAUUCCGCGUGUAGCAGUGAAAUGCGUAGAUAUGCGGAGGAACACCGAUGGCGAAGGCAAUCCCCUGGGCCUGCACUGACGCUCAUGCACGAAAGCGUGGGGGAGCAAACAGG